UACGUAGGGUGCAAGCGUUAAUCGGAAUUACUGGGCGUAAAGCGUGCGCAGGCGGCUUUGCAAGACAGAUGUGAAAUCCCCGGGCUUAACCUGGGAACUGCAUUUAUGACUGCAUGGCUGGAGUGCGGCAGAGGGGGAUGGAAUUCCUCGUGUAGCAGUGAAAUGCGUAGAUAUGCGGAGGAACACCGAUGGCGAAGGCAAUCCCCUGGGCCUGCACUGACGCUCAUGCACGAAAGCGUGGGGAGCAAACAGG
rnacentral:rRNA from 1 species